AUUGAACGCUGGCGGCAUGCUUUACACAUGCAAGUCGAACGGUAACAGGCCGCAAGGUGCUGACGAGUGGCGCACGGGUGAGUAAUGCAUCGGAACGUGCCCCGGCUUGGGGGAUAACUACUCGAAAGAGUAGCUAAUACCGCAUACGAUCUAUGGAUGAAAGCGGGGGACCGUAUGGCCUCGCGCGAUUGGAGCGGCCGAUGUCUGAUUAGGUAGAUGGUGGGGUAAAGGGUCACCAAGCCAACGAUCUGUAGCUGGUCUGUGAGGACGACCAGCCACACUGGGACUGAGACACGGCCCAGACUCCUACGGGAGGCAGCAGUGGGGAAUUUUGGACAAUGGGUGCAAGCCUGAUCCAGCAAUGCCGCGUGCAGGAAGAAGGCCUUCGGGUUGUAAACUGCUUUUGUACGGAACGAAACGGCUCUGGUUAAUACCCGGGGCUAAUGACGGUACCGUAAAGAUAAGCACCGGCUAACUACGUU
rnacentral:rRNA from 1 species